rnacentral:rRNA from 1 species
UACGUAGGCAGCAAGCGUUGUUCGGAGUUACUGGGCGUAAAGGGUGUGUAGGCGGUUCCUUAAGUUUGCUGUGAAAUCUCCCGGCUUAACCGGGAGGGUGCGGUGAAUACUGAGGGACUAGAGUACGGGAGAGGAAAGUGGGAAUUCCUGGUGUAGCGGUGAAAUGCGUAGAUAUCAGGAGGAACACCGGUGGUGUAGACGGCUUUCUGGACCGUAACUGACGCUGAGACACGAAAGCGUGGGUAGCAAACAGG